rnacentral:sRNA from 1 species
AACACACAUUCAAAACAAU